rnacentral:rRNA from 1 species
UGGGGAAUAUUGGACAAUGGGCGCAAGCCUGAUCCAGCCAUGCCGCGUGUGUGAAGAAGGCCUUUUGGUUGUAAAGCACUUUCAGCGAGGAGGAGGCUACUUGGAUUAAUACUCUAGGAUAGUGGACGUUACUCGCAGAAUAAGCACCGGCUAACUCUGUGCCAGCAGCCGCGGUAAUACAGAGGGUGCGAGCGUUAAUCGGAUUUACUGGGCGUAAAGCGUGCGUAGGCGGCUUUUUAAGUCGGAUGUGAAAUCCCUGAGCUUAACUUAGGAAUUGCAUUCGAUACUGGGAAGCUAGAGUAUGGGAGAGGAUGGUAGAAUUCCAGGUGUAGCGGUGAAAUGCGUAGAGAUCUGGAGGAAUACCGAGAGCGAAGGCAGCCAUCUGGCCUAAUACUGACGCUGAGGUACGAAGGCAUGGGGAGCAAACAGA